rnacentral:rRNA from 1 species
UUGAUCCUGGCUCAGAAUCAACGCUGGCGGCGUGCCUAACACAUGCAAGUCGAGCGAGAAAGGGGCUUCGGCCCUGAGUAAAGCGGCGCACGGGUGAGUUACACGUGGGUAAUCUGCCCUAGAGUGGGGAAUAACAUCGGGAAACCGAUUCUAAUACCGCAUACGAUCAUGGAGUCUUCGGAUUUUGUGAUGAAAGGAGUAAUCCGCUCUUGGAGGAGCCCGCGGCUGAUUAGCUAGUUGGUAAGGUAAUGGCUUACCAAGGCAACGAUCAGUAUCCGGUCUGAGAGGACGGUCGGACAUACUGGAACUGAGACACGGUCCAGACUCCUACGGGAGGCAGCAGUGGGGAUUUUUUGGCAAUGGGGGAAACCCUGACCAAGCAACGCCGCGUGGAUGAUGUAGUAUCUUGGUACGUAAAAUCCUUUCGACGGGGAAGAAAACCGCAAGGUUUGACGGUACCCGUAGAAGAAGCCCCGGCUAACUCCGUGCCAGCAGCCGCUGUAAUAAGGU